rnacentral:rRNA from 1 species
UACGUAGGGGGCGAGCGUUGUCCGGAGUUACUGGGCGUAAAGCGCACGCAGGCGGUCUGCUAAGUUUGGAGUGACAGUUGGUGGCUUAACUGCCAAAGUGCUUCGAAAACUGACAGACUUGAGGGCUUCAGAGGGACACGGAAUUCCGGGUGGAGUGGUGAAAUGCGUAGAGAUCCGGAAGAACACCGGUGGCGAAGGCGGUCUGCUGGGCAGUUGCUGACACUGAGGCGCGACAGCGUGGGGAGCAAACAGG